UACUACACAAGCAAGAAACUCAAGGAGACUUCUCGGGAGAAAUAGAAAAACUCUAGUCCAUUUCUUGGGACUAAUCCUUAGAAAGAGAACUUCUCCAUCAAAUGACCUGUACAUCACGAAGAUAUCCAUUUUUGCUUUUCUGGUGGAUAUUCAGUUCAAUUGAGAUGAAGAAAAUGAGGUUCACUAGCUUGCUGAAGAUCACAAAGUCGGGAUAAAAGAGAACCACUGUCUGAAUCCAAACCCCAUGAUCUUCACUGUACAGUUUGUGUCUCUCUUAAGAUAUGGAAAUUGCCCUUGUC